UACGGAGGGGGCUAGCGUUGUUCGGAAUUACUGGGCGUAAAGCGCGCGUAGGCGGCUUUGUAAGUUAGAGGUGAAAGCCCGGAGCUCAACUCCGGAAUUGCCUUUAAGACUGCAUCGCUAGAAUCAUGGAGAGGUGAGUGGAAUUCCGAGUGUAGAGGUGAAAUUCGUAGAUAUUCGGAAGAACACCAGUGGCGAAGGCGAACUCACUGGACAUGUAUUGACGCUGAGGUGCGAAAGCGUGGGGAGCAAACAGGG
rnacentral:rRNA from 1 species